GCUUUUCCUUCUGCCAUGGCUGGAAGUUUCCUGAGGCCUCCCCAGCCAUCCUGAUCUAAAGAAGUGUUUGCUUCCCGUUCCAUCAUGGUUGGAAGUUUCCUGAGGCCUCUCCAGUCAUACUGAGCUAGGUACCUGGUGCCAAUUCCUGAGACUUGAGGAUUCUGGUUGGUUCUCAGCACAGGAGUCGGCCUGCUCUGAUUUGCUAGGUUAGUGACCAUGAGCUCAUUUGCUUUCCAGUUUCCAAAAUGUUAUUUCCUCUUCCAUUUUCUCCAAAUGUGUGCCUUUUAAAUAUAUUAUCCAGAAGCUCCUACUCUUUUUUCUGUGCAUAUUUCUACAUAGUUGAAUGUUUCAUAUAAUUUUUUAAAAUCCCACUUUAAUGAUUGUUCAUAGCAGACACAAGUGUUUGAUCCUGUUAUUAAGUUCUUCAGUCAUUUAUAGAGCAGCUUUAUCAAGAUUCAGUUCACACAUCAUACAAUUCAUCUAUUUAAAGUGUACAAAUUAGUGAUUUUUUGUAGCAUAUUCACAGUUGUGCAACCAUUAACAUAAUCAAUUUAAAAAUAUUUUCAUCCUCCCCCAGAAAGAAACCCCAUAUUCACCAGCAGUCAUUCUUCCUUUCUCCACAACACUAAGCAGACACUAAUCUACUUGCCUCUGUGGAUAUGAAUAUGCAUGUUCUGGACACUUCAUGUAAAUGGAAUGAUACAAUAUGUGGUCUGUUUUGACUGAUUUAUUUUACCUAGCAUAGUCUUUUAAAGGCUUAUCCGUGUUGUUUCAUGUAUCAGCAUGUCAUUCCUUUUUUUUUUUUUAAUAUGGAGUCUCACUCU